AUAUUAUAGCACAUAGAGAGGGAUAUUAUAGCAAAUAGAUGGAUAUUAUAGCACACAGAGAGGGCUAUUAUAGCACAUAGAUGGAUAUUAUAGCACACAGAGAGGAUAUUAUAGCACAUAGAGAGGAUAUUAUAGCA